CCUACGGGUGGCUGCAGAGAGGAAUAUUGGUCAAUGGACGAGAGUCUGAACCAGCCAAGUAGCGUGAAGGAUGACUGCCCUAUGGGUUGUAAACUUAUUUUAUAAAGGAAUAAAACGAGGCACGUUGGCCUUUGUGCAUGUACUGUAUGCAUAAGGAUCGGCUAACUCGGUGCCAGCAGCCGCGGUAAUACGGGGGAUCAGAGCGUUGGCCGGAUUUAGUGGGUUUAAAGGGAGCGUAGAUGGGUGGUCAAGUCAGUUGUGAAUGUUUGCGGCGCAACCGUAAAAUUGCAAUUGAUACUGGUAGUCUUGAGUACAGUUGAGGUAGGCGGAAUUCGUGGUGUAGCGGUGAAAUGCUUAGAUAUCACGAAGAACCCCGAUUGCGAAGGCAGCUUACUAAACUGUGACUGACAUUGAUGCUCGAAAGUGUGGGUAUCAAACAGGAUUAGAUACCCGGGUAGUC
rnacentral:rRNA from 1 species